ACUGGGAGUCGUGGCCGUACUCCUGUAAUGCCAGCUUCUCGGCAGGUUGGAAUGUGUGGAUGGUUUGAGCUGGGGAGCUCUGGUGAUUGGGGUGAUUACGUUGAUCUGGUAUCUCACUUAAGCUGGGCGUCAAUAUGGGCUCAGGGGCGGAGGCCCCAGUGUCCAGGUUAGCUAAGGAGAGAUGAACGAGCGAGGCGGGUAACGAGCAGCUAAAAAUCUCCGCGUCCAUUGCAGUAAGGAGACUGUACCGGAGAGUAUCCUCCUUCCACCAGCCUCGGCAACAUAGCCGGACCACAUUCCUA
rnacentral:SRP_RNA from 1 species